GCGCAGUCCAGUGUGGUCACAGACGGAAUGUUCUAGGUCUGGUCCGGAAGGAAGGAAGGAGUCUCUCUCUCUGGUAGCAGCAGCCAUCAACAAAAAAGAGGAGACGAAGAAGAAGAAGAAACAACAGCGACUGGAGAGAGACGAGACGGGAGCUAGCGGCCCUGUGGCUGAGCCUAUUUGGAUUUCGGGCGAAAGAAGCAUCGAUUACUAAAAUGACCAGUGGGUAUCGACAUAUAUUUCGACCGAGGAAACCAACGUGAGCUUGCACGCCAGAAGAAUGCCAAAAAGGCGAAUGAAAACACUAAAGGCAAGAGGGGCGAUGACGGGCUGUCCGCUGCUGCUCGGAAGCAGAGGGAUGCCGAGAUAAUGCAGCAGAAGCAGAAAAAGGCGGAUGAAGGAGGGAAGCCAGGAAGCACAAAGUCCAAGUAAAGAACGG